GAUACUCGCGAAGAUUCGGUUGAAUACCUAGGAGUCAUUGGACGUGGAUAUCGAGGUGCGAUUAGGAGAGCCCUGCAUGGUAUCGGGCCGAUAAACCCUUCUAAGGUGGCUCGUAAAAGGGAAGGUUAAAUGACUCGUUUAUGAUCUCCUAUCUGGGAAGUCCGGCUGCCGGCACGUUCGGAUUCAGGGUCGAUUCCAUUUCGGAUUCCGAGCUCCCCCCCGAGCUCCGAUCUGAUGAUAUUCUUUUGAAACCAGUUAUUUACUGUUUUUUCCUUAUCUAAUAUCCCAUGUGGGCAGCUAGUCGGCGCGAGUUGGUGCCCCCGCCUUGAGUGAAAACAGGAGGUCAGCCAAGGCCGAGAAGCUAUGAAGGCGACGACAGCCAAGCCUCCCACCAAAGGCGUCGUUAUUCGGGAAAAUAAUACGUGGGUAGGCGACCACGUAAUCGAAAAAGGGCGAGCCGGACUCUUCGCAUGGAAGGAACCGCGCCCCCCCCCCCCCGCCGCCUAAAAGAUUCAAAUCCUCGAGGGCGAUCAGUAUGCCAAAGGGGGCGUGUGUGGCUUGGAUGGUGCUCACUGGGUGAUUCCGUCUUCCCGACAAGAAAGAUGUUGAUCAUUUAUCGAGAAUGAAUUGGUCGCCAAAUCUUCCAUGCCUGAGUCAGGUAUUUUGUGACAUCUUGGCGUUGUUUCUUUUGACAAAUACUGAGAUGUUAUUUUUGGCAGUUGGCUUGUUCGCCUCUUCUCUUGCCCUCUCGUAUCCAGGAGCAUCUCCACGACAUAGACUUCCAUAUGGCUCGCGCAUAUUCGUUUUAGCUUGAAUGGUUAAAUCUAAAAAACGAGGUUAAGGCAAAAAUCGGUUGGGUCGAGCUUAGCGAGGAAAGGCUUGGGAUUCAAAUCCUGGCACGAGGUGGAUGAUCUGAGCCACCGUGGGCGGACUCACAAAUAAACUGGCGAAGGCCAGGAGCUAGCCAUCGAGGACUUCAAAGCCUCGGGGGAAUUCAAGCGGCGGUUACAGAUUCUGCGUCAAACAUACUUCAGUGAGGGAUUUGAUUUCUGCAAGAGGCCAGAUUCUCCCAUCAAGUCCCCAACCUUUGUGUCGACGUGGGCGAUAUGGCGAUGGACCAAGUUUUUCCGAUGAAGAGAGGCGAUGGAAAGAAGGAGAAUAUCCUGUGUGCAGGAGUUGCUCCUGAUGUUAAUUUUUUUUUUUUGGCCAUCGCUUUAGGCGAGGCUCAAACAAUGUAAUAGUUCUUAGUGUGAAGAAAUCAUCCAUUGACGUAUUUGUUUUGCGAGGUUUAUAUAGUUCUGUUUUAUUUUGUAAAGUAAAUGCAUUCUCCAUCCGUCUAGGUGAACGGCUUGUGAGGCGAUACGUUUCAGUGCGAUCAAAUUACCAUUGUUUAACGGAGUGGCGAUCUUCGUUUUUGCAACAUUUGUUAUGGCGAUCAGCACCUUUAUCGUUGGCCGAUGAGCGUAUCCUUAUUUUUGGCGACAUAAAUAACGAGAUCAAGACGCCUGUAUCGUUUAAUGAAACGACGAUCUUAAUUUUGGCGACUCAAUCUUUUUCAUAACUGGCGAGGUGUCAACCAUAGUCGAAUCAUAAGAAUUUUCAAUUAAUAAGUAAAAUUAACAAACACAGAUCAUUGGCUCACCCAAUUCUACUGAUAAUCUUUCCUUCAAAUCUCGCGUUCCAGGGAUGUAGAGUGCUUUUCCGUUAGAUCUCCAGCCACAAUUCCCUGGCCUGGAAACGUGAUAACUUGUAGGGCCUUCCCAUUGGGACCGAUCUCCCUGCGCUCGGACAAUCUCUUGUGGAUGGGUUCCCUUGCAAGACCAGUCCCCAGGGAGGAACGACGGUGCUUUACUCUUUCGUUGUAGUAUUUUGGCGAUCCGACUUUUGUAAGCCGCUUGGCGUACUUCUGGCUCUCUCCCUUUUUUCAUCGAGGAGAUCAGGUUUAGCCUAGCUCGUCCUCGUUGCCUAUUUUUGUCGAAGUUUAACGUUCUGAAGCUUGGCAUACCUAUUUCCACUGGUAUGACUGAUUCAGUUCUGAAGAUCCCAUGUAUUAUGGAGUUUCACUGUAGGAAUCCGACUAGUAGUAAUGAUUAAGCCCAGAGUAUGCUUGGUAAGUCUUCCGGCCCAUUCCGGCUUUUGAUCUUUCCUAACCUCGCCUUCAAAUUCUGAGGAUGGUACGAUUAGUACUUCAACUGGUCCGUUAUCCUGAGGAUGGCCGGGCGAAGAAAAAUGAUGGGAGAUGGCAAAGAUGUUUUUUCCAUAUGAAAUCUCAGGUAAUUUUUCUCAGUAAUUUUGGCGAGAGGUUGAGCUUUAUCCAUUUGGUAAAUCGUCUAUGUGACAUCAAAAUUUAUCUUUGCAAGGGAGCUCGUGGUAGGGGACCCAGUAUGUCUAUUCCCCAUUGGGCGAAUGGCCAGGCUUGACAUCGUCCAUCUCAGUGUGGGGGGAUGGCUUGACGGGAGCAAUCUCUGCAUUUGUCGCAUCUCUUUACAUACGCAGCCGCAUCCUCGUUCCAUAGUCGGCCAAAACUAUCCUUGGCGAAUUGUCCUCCUUGCUACGACCUUGCUUCCGGAUUGGUUUCCGCCCAGAUGCCUCAUGUAUUUCUUUUAGAUGUACGCUGCUUCUCUGGUUGGAGACAUUUCACGAGGGGUCCCGAGAAAGACCUUUUUUUAUAAUUUCCGUGUGAAUUGCAAAAUCUUGCUGAUCUGGACUGGAGACGGCGAGUUUUGGAGUUUUUCUUUUGGUAAGAUACCAUCCUGGAGAUAGGCAAAAUUUCUUAUCACGUCGGACUUCCUCCGCUUGGAGGACCUGAUUGUUGAUUCCAAUGCUUGGCUUGGCUAAAAAUUCCAAAGGCACGCACCUGUAAUGAAUAAACUCAAAAGUGGAUGUCAAAUGUGCGUAAGGCGUCCGCCUUUUUAUUAUCGCUCGGGGAAUUGUGACGGAUUUUGAAGACUUGGCGUUGUGGCUGCGGCCUUACUCGCCUACAUAGCUUCAUGUCUCGUGCCUUGGCGAGGUAGUCCCCUUGAACUUGGUUCAACCACUAGUGUGAAUCACUUGAGAUUUCCAAGAUUGUGCCCCCAACUCCAUUGCUACCUUAAACCCGGCGAGGAGUGCUUCAUAUUCGGCUUCAUUAAUUAGUGGCUUUAAAAUCCAUCUUAUGGCGUAUUCCAUUUGUUCGCCUGACUGGAGUCUGUAGAAAACGAGUCUCGCAACCACAACUCGUGUUGGUUAGAAGAGCCAUCCACGUAUAAUGUCCAGCGGGGCGAGAUCCUUCUCCGAAGUCAGUUCUUUGGGAAUUUUCCUCUUCAGGGGCUGUUGUCUGUUUGGGUUUUCAUGUGUGGAAUUCCAUAAUGAAAUCAGCCAGGCCUGGGCUUUUAUGGCUAAUUCUCGGGCUUGUAUUCAUGUGGAACUCACUUAGCUCAAUGGCCCAUUUCGGAUGUCUCCCGACGUGUCCGUUCGUUUGGAGAAUCUACUUUAGAGGCGUUUGAUCUGUCAACACUAUGAUGGAAAGGGCCUGGAAGUACUGAUGAAUUUUUCUGGCGCGGGAUCAUUAGAGCAUAGGCGUCUUUUCAAUCCUCAGAUAUCUGGCCCUCUAGUCACCAAUUAAAGUUUUUGCUAACGUAAUAUAUUGGUUUUUUUGGAUUUUAUCUCUUGUCCUUCUUCUCUCUCUCGGACAGUACUGACUCGAGCACUAUUGCGGUGGGGCGAGGUAGAUAAAUACACGUAGAUAUCUUCUUCGGCGGUGGGGACCGAGAGUAAAGGCGGGGACCCGAGAUACUCCUCAGCUGUGGAACGCAUUUUUCAGAUUCCUCACUCCAUUGAAAAAGGUCUAGCUUCUUUCUUCUCAGGAUUUUGAAGAAAGGGAGGCACUUUUCCGUAGUUUGGAGACGAAUCUGUUCAGGGGCGGCUCCUCGCCCCUGUCAGGUUGUCUGUACUUCUCGGAUUUCCUCCUGGCGUCUCAUUGUCGAUUUAGGGCUUGGAUUUGAUCCGGGUUUCACACUCAAUUCCUCGCUUGGGUGACCAGGAAUCCGAGAAACUUUCCAGAAGACACUCCAAAGAUCAAUUUCGAGGGAGUCAAUAAUCAUGUCUGUUGUUGGGUGGGGGUGGGCCAACCUCAUUCCGUAUAUCGUAUGCUUCUUCAGGUGGGCGAUGUGGUUGUGUCUUGAGGACUCUUAAAACCACAUAUCAAAAUCUAUGUAACUUCCAUAGUCUUACCAUUUGUGCCAUUGAACAUCUUGUUGACCAGUCUCCUGAUACGCUUGCCCCGCGUUCUUUAACCCAAACGGCAUGACUUUGUACCAAUAUAGCCCCCCGUUCCUGAUAAAAGAAGUUUUCUUUUCUCAACGGUAGGAGGAUAACAUUUUAUCUGAUUAUAAACCCCUAGAAGGCUCCUAAAGCUCAAGAGCUCAUGCUUGGAGGUGUCGUCUACUAUCAAUCGAUUUUAGGCAAAGGAAAACUUUCUUUUUCGGGCAAGCCUUUGUUGAGAUCGUUGAAGUCUAAAUACGCACACCCUCUCACUUCCCCUCCUUUUUUUGGGGCGACUACGACAUUGGCGCCAAUCCGAUAGUGGGCUUCUCGACAACAUUAGCUUUGAUGAGUUUGUGCUUAUUUCGUCUUCAAUGACUUUCAAGGCGUUCAGGGGCGAACUUCCUUCCUCCGUUUCCUGGCGUACUGGGAGUAUUCAGCUUUGUGAACAGCUUAUCAUGGCGACUUCUGGGUCGAUGCCAGGACGGUCGCCUUUAACCAGGCGAACACGUCAGAAUUCUUUUUCAGAAAUCUAUGAAGGCGAAGAAACGCAUUCAUCGUGGAUUCUCUGUUCCGAGCAUGAUGUCGUGUGACGAUCUGGGUAGUUUGGGUGAAUGGAGAUGGGAACGACGGUUUUUCGAGAGGGUUUGGUAUCUCGUCUCUCCUGGGGUCUUCAAGAUAAGCUGUUCUAUCUAUCUCAUCUCCUCAUAUCCCCCAUGUCUCGCCCCGCCGUCUGUGAUUGCUAUUGGGCGGACUGAACGAAGUUCCAACCUUUAUUUAUAUGGCUGAGAUCAAGGCAUUGCCUAGCCCACCUUUCUAUUCAGCCCUUACUUCGCCUAUUCCCAGUCAAGGUGGGGAAGUUCAUCUCUUCAGGUGGUAGGUAGAAGUGAUCGCCUUUGAUUCCUCCCAGCGGAGGUCGCCCCAGGAUGGCAUAAGGCAGGGACAAUCUACCACAAUAAAAAUCCGGUCAUAAUAAAAACGGUGGUCCUGGUGUGGUCGGUUUCCCAGGGUUUUAUUGGUAAGUUGAUCCAUCCCAAGGGGGUGCGUCGUAUUUCCCUUCCUCCAAUCCUAUCAGUGGGUUGAAAUGUGCCACUUGGUCCAGCCCCAAUUUUUAUUUUUUUGACGCUGAGAUGAACAUAUUCCGCCUAGCUCCGUUGUCGAUUCAGAUCCUCUGGAACGUUGAAAUUGGCGAUGACAGCCAAACCACCAGGAAUCGUCGUGUGCUCAAGUGCAACGCCUCUCAAAUCAUCAUUGCUGAAGGUGAUUGGUGUUGGUCAGCAACGAAUGUAGGAGAGGUUGUAGACUUCCUCGUCGGACGGGCUAUGUGGGCACUUCGUGGCAUGCCUUUUCUGGAUGAAGUCGAAUAACCGCCCGAUCCGAAACCUCCGUGAUUGUUUUUGUAUAUCGCCCGCAGUUGGUCUGUGUUGCCCUGGAACCUUCUUUUGGGGAGUUGGGCGUGGCGAUUAGCAACAAUUCCUCAGGUAAAAUCUUUUAAUGAGGUCGCAAUCCUGCUCUUUUAGAGUUGAAAACAGUCUCAGUAUGUGUCCGUGGUCCCGGUGGAUUCACAUAUUUGUUUUCUGUCUUUUUGGGGGUCAUUUUUGAUCUUUCCGGGCCAUUUGAUGACGAAUUCCUUCGUGCUUACUUUCCGAGAGAACUUGGGCGACAGGGGUGUUGAGUGGUGGUAGGAUAAACUCAGUCGGCGAGGCUGGUGGGGCCCCCCGAGGACGCCUAUUCUAGACCGUUUGGGAUCUAGGUCAGUCUUUUUUUACCUCGUCUCUCCCUAUAAUCAGUCCGCCUCGUAUCAGGCUCUUUCCUCUUAUGGUUAUCCUUUUCCCUUCCUCGUCGCCUCGUUUAAGCUCGCUAACUCCCUCUGCGGCGAUGACUUGUCGGCUUGCUCUGGAGUGUGGAUAAAGUUUCCGGGAACGGGUUUGGAAAGGGAGUCGAAUAGUGGACCAUGUCGGAGGUCCUUCCAUCAUUGGCCAUGGAUUAUUUACUUUUGGUCGCUGGAUCCUCGACUUCUAAAUAGCCUAUUGAAGAAUGUUUUUCACGAAUCUUUGCAAGCUCUUCAGUUUCUUUUGAUGAAUGGUGAAAAGGUGAGAAGUAUCUUUUGGCGAUUUUUUCUACCGCUCAUGAAUUGGCGACGAAGAUUCGACUGAAUCCGCCAAAAAGAAUCAUGGUUCCUGGGGGCUACAGUUUCAAACAUGACCGUGCUGGCGGGUCCUUUUCAAAGUGGCCGGAGAACGGUUUUGCACAUAAUCUCUCCGCGCAACCCUGGAGCGACAUUAGGCUCUUUUACGAGUCCAGGUGGUCUAUUGGGAUCGUUUUUCCUUGCAUAAAUAUCGAGCUGGGCGGGGAGGCCUUUGAACUUCGAUUAAAAUCCGAGCCCUCAAUAUCCUCUCUGUUAACGGCGGUUCUAAUCUGUUAAUUAGUGUGUCCACAGUACUACUGGGGUCAUUGUUUCCAGUGUGUGAUGGCGUCGAGCCUCUGCGUCCAGUCUUGAAACUUUUGCGAGGUGGAUUUUGUUUCGUGCCCCUGAUCCGAUCGUUCAAUGAGGACUCCUCCCCCUUCUCGACCUGGUUGGAGUUUUACUAGAUUCUGAGGAACUGCUUUUCACGGAGGACGAGCUGAUUCUUGGCGUCUCCCCCGCCCUACUUGAUCGGCACUAUAUUUCGAGAACGAUCUCCUGAACGUCCGAGUGGCGAGAAUCGCUCGAUAUCAGGGACGGGUGGGAGCGCUGGAAGUGGGGGGUUUGGCAGCGCGAGGAGUUGCAUUAUUUAGGCGACCAUUAUUUCGUUCAUUAUCCUCCAUCUGCUUCAGCCAUAUCGUGUAUCUCAUGUGGAGACCUCCAGAUCUGAACUUGGCCUGGGUUAGCUCUAGGAUGGGAUUCUGUUCCCCUGGGGCUACUGGCACUUGGUCUGGGUAGGGUUGGCGGCUGCGCAGUGCAUAAGAAAUUGGUCGUUCCCACAGAAACGCGCCAACUGUUGUGGUAGAAAUCCUGGGAUGAGCAAUCCAACAUUCAAUCUUGCUCUUUGUACCUCGGCACUGGACCUCCAGUAACUUAAGGACGACCUUUUUGCACAGAUGAAAGUAAAAUGACGACCGGGGCGAGGCCCGCCAAAACCCCUCCGGCGUGGCGAUCAGACUACGGUGAGACAGUAGGUAAAAGGCUCAGAGGAGAGAGUUGUAGAGUAUAUUGAAGCGUCACCUUUGUUUAAUGGGGAGCGGCCUUUUUAUAGACGGCUUACUGGUCGUGCCCAU
rnacentral:lncRNA from 1 species